rnacentral:rRNA from 1 species
ACCCAGACUCCUACGGGAGGCAGCAGUGGGGAAUAUUGCACAAUGGGGGAAACCCUGAUGCAGCGACGCCGCGUGAGCGAUGAAGUAUUUCGGUAUGUAAAGCUCUAUCAGCAGGGAAGAAAAUGACGGUACCUGACUAAGAAGCCCCGGCUAACUACGUGCCAGCAGCCGCGGUAAUACGUAGGGGGCAAGCGUUAUCCGGAUUUACUGGGUGUAAAGGGAGCGUAGACGGUCCUGCAAGCCAGAUGUGAAAGCCCGGGGCUCAACCCCGGGACUGCAUUUGGAACUGUAAGGCUAGAGUGUCGGAGAGGCAGGCGGAAUUCCUAGUGUAGCGGUGAAAUGCGUAGAUAUUAGGAGGAACACCAGUGGCGAAGGCGGCUUACUGGACGGUAACUGACGUUGAGGCUCGAAAGCGUGGGGAGCAAACAGGAUUAGAUACCCCGGUAGC